UACGUAGGGUGCAAGCGUUGUCCGGAAUUAUUGGGCGUAAAGAGCUCGUAGGCGGUUUGUCGCGUCUGCUGUGAAAACUCAGGGCUUAACCCUGAGCUUGCAGUGGGUACGGGCAGACUUGAGUGCGGUAGGGGAGACUGGAAUUCCUGGUGUAGCGGUGAAAUGCGAGAUAUCGAGAGGAACACCAGGUGGCGAAGGCGGAUGUCCUGGGCCAACUCGAGCUGAGGACGAAAGCUGGGGAGCAAACAGG
rnacentral:rRNA from 1 species